UACGUAGGGGGCAAGCGUUGUCCGGAUUUAUUGGGCGUAAAGAGCUCGUAGGUGGUUUGGUAAGUCGGAUGUGAAAUCUCCAGGCUCAACCUGGAGGGGUCAUUCGAUACUGCUCGGCUCGAAGACAGGAGAGGGAAGCGGAAUUCCCGGUGUAGUGGUGAAAUGCGUAGAUAUCGGGAGGAACACCAGUGGCGAAGGCGGCUUUCUGGCCUGUUCUUGACGCUGAGGCGCGAAAGCUAGGGGAGCAAACGGG
rnacentral:rRNA from 1 species